GUAGACGUUAGCUCAAUGGUUAGAGCACAGGCCUCUGGCUCUCGGGUCCGCGAGUUCUCAGUCCCGUCGUCUACU
rnacentral:tRNA from 1 species